AAACUAACAAGGAUUCCCCUAGUAGCGGCGAGCGAAGCGGGAAGAGCUCAAAUUUAUAAUCUGGCACCUUCGGUGUCCGAGUUGUAAUCUCUAGAAAUGUUUUCCGCGUUGGACCGCACACAAGUCUGUUGGAAUACAGCGGCAUAGUGGUGAGACCCCCGUAUAUGGUGCGGACGCCCAGCGCUUUGUGAUACAUUUUCGAAGAGUCGAGUUGUUUGGGAAUGCAGCUCAAAUUGGGUGGUAAAUUCCAUCUAAAGCUAAAUAUUGGCGAGAGACCGAUAGCGAACAAGUACCGUGAGGGAAAGAUGAAAAGCACUUUGGAAAGAGAGUUAACAGUACGUGAAAUUGUUGGAAGGGAAACGCUUGAAGUCAGACUUGCUUGCCGAGCAAUCGGUUUGCAGGCCAGCAUCAGUUUUCCGGGAUGGAUAAUGGUAGAGAGAAGGUAGCAGUUUCGGCUGUGUUAUAGCUCUCUGCUGGAUACAUCUUGGGGGACUGAGGAACGCAGUGUGCCUUUGGCGGGGGUUUCGACCUCUCACA
rnacentral:rRNA from 1 species